UUUCAUCACUUUGGGGCUUUUUUUGCAGGUCAUGAAAACCACUUUCUUCCCGGUGUGUGUCCCGGUUGCAAAAUCAACAUUCCAACUGACAGUCCAAUACUACAGAAACCUAUGGCAGCUGCUCUUGAAAAAUUGAACUCGGAGAGAGACGAUGACUUCUAUUAUAAAGUGGAAGAGAUUAUUACAGCUACAAAACAGGUUGUGGCAGGAAUCAAGUAUCAAAUAGACUUUGUAGUUGGAAAGACAAAUUGUGUUAAGGCUAUGGUUCCAAAACUGAAGAAAAUUUGCACUGUGAUAGAGGAUGAGGCCCAGCAACUGUUGAGAUGUAAUGCUACGAUUUAUGAGAGAGCCUGGGAAGCUGUACUCUCGUCUAUGGUGCGAUGCAAGACUGAACAACCUCAAGAGGUAUGCACAUGCAAGCCAAAUGUAAUUGGAGAAGGAUUACUAACAAUUAAAUGGCAAAAGAUUAGUCUACCUUCCAAGGUAUUAGUAAUGAAGCUCAUUCAUCUAUCCCAUUCUAACCAAUUAUUAAGAUAAAU